CGGCGGACGGUGAGUAACACGUGGACAACCUACCUAUAAGACUGGGAUAACUUCGGGAAACCGGAGCUAAUACCGGAUAAUAUAUUUAACCGCAUGGUUCAAUGGUGAAAGACGGUUUUGCUGUCACUUAUAGAUGGAUCCGCGCCGCAUUAGCUAGUUGGUAAGGUAACGGCUUACCAAGGCAACGAUGCGUAGCCGACCUGAGAGGGUGAUCGGCCACACUGGAACUGAGAUACGGUCCAGACUCCUACGGGAGGCAGCAGCG
rnacentral:rRNA from 1 species